GACGAACGCUGGCGGCGUGCCUAAUACAUGCAAGUCGAGCGGACAGACGGGAGCUUGCUCCCUGAUGUUAGCGGCGGACGGGUGAGUAACACGUGGGUAACCUGCCUGUAAGACUGGGAUAACUCCGGGAAACCGGGGCUAAUACCGGAUGGUUGUCUGAACCGCAUGGUUCAGACAUAAAAGGUGGCUUCGGCUACCACUUACAGAUGGACCCGCGGCGCAUUAGCUAGUUGGUGAGGUAACGGCUCACCAAGGCAACGAUGCGUAGCCGACCUGGGAGGGGGAUCGGCCACCCUGGGACUGAGACACGGCCCAGACUCCUACGGGAGGCAGCAGUAGGGAAUCUUCCGCAAUGGACGAAAGUCUGACGGAGCAACGCCGCGUGAGUGAUGAAGGUUUUCGGAUCGUAAAGCUCUGUUGUUAGGGAAGAACAAGUGCCGUUCAAAUAGGGCGGCACCUUGACGGUACCUAACCAGAAAGCCACGGCUAACUACGUG
rnacentral:rRNA from 1 species